AUGAAGUCACAGACCCAGUUCUUCCUAUCCCUGCUGCUUUGGGUGUCUGGUGCCUGUGCAGACAUCGUGAUGACUCAGUCUCCAUCCUCCCUGGCUGUGUCAGCAGGAGAGAAAGUCAACAUCAGCUGCAGGUCCAGUCAGAGUCUUUUAGACAGCACAGAACAAAAGAACUACUUGUCCUGGUACCAGCAGAAACCAGGGCAAUCCCCUAAGCUGCUGAUCUAUUGGGCAUCCACUCGGGACACUGGGGUCCCUGAUAGCUUCACAGGCAGUGGAUCUGGGACAGAUUUCACUCUCAGCAUCAGCAGUGUGCAGGAUGAAGACCUGGCAGUUUAUUACUGUCUGCAGGAAUUUAGUACUCCUCCCACAUUGCUUCAGCCUCCAACACAAACCUCCUUGAGAGUCUCACCAGCUGCCUCCACCACACACAGCCUUGACAAUGCACCCUUCCUCCUUCUGCCUGAUAGCAGCAGUGCCUGUAAACAUGAUGAAGAAGUUUGCAAAGCCCAGUACAAAAUUAUGGUUUCAAUGAUUCUGAUUUCUUUUGGUAUGAGAAACUUUAUAUGA